CAACAUUGAAAAGGUUAUUACAAAAUUCGCUCAAUUGACACCACAAGAAAGGACAAAAAGGAAGUUGGAGAGCCUUGAAGCACUGAAGAAAACCUUUAAGAAGUUGGACCAUGAUGUAAAUAUACAAGACUUUUUGGGUUCAAGGUUUGUGUUUAUUUUGAUGAAUCUUUUAAAUCUUAAGGGAUUAACCCUCAUGAAAGAACUAAUUUAUUUUUUUUUUUUUU